UAUAAAUGAACAACAGUUUGCCCUUCGCCUUGUACUGUUUCAAUGCAGUAUGGUCCUAAGUAUUCUUACUCCUUAGAACCCCGUUACACACCCCACAGCUUGAGUCCUGAAGGGUAGGGGGAGAUUAUGCAGGCACGUUCUCAUGCACACAAUGCAAAGAGGCGGAGGCAACGUCAGCAUGGCUAUAAAGGCGACAAGGUUGAAGUUGUUUCUUGGUCGCUGUAGUAAAAGCAACGGAUUAUGGAUGAAGCAUGGUCUUGGAAUAGACGAGUGGUUGAGUGGGAGAGUAAGAGUGAGUAAGAGUUAAUAGGUUAAUGAGAGUAAGUUAAAUUAAGUGAAUGAGUAAUAGAGAACCCGAGUAGCACACUUAUCAUAUAUCAGUCACUGUGACUCAUAUGCGACCGAAUCCAGUCUCAUUGGAGUUGCUGCAAUCAAAUCGAUCUGAACUGUGCUACUAGGGAAUGAAUAAGUGAGUAAACGGGUUUAGAGUCAUUUGGCCGAAUGCCAUUUGGCCGAAAGGGUAAUUUGGCCGAACGCCAUUUGGCCGAAUGCCGUUUGGCCGAAUUGUUGAAGUACGUUUCCUUAUGAAGUGAGAAGUGAGUAGUGCGAAGCAAGAAAUGUUUGUGGUGGGAAGCAAGAAGUGAGAAGUGACAAAUGAGAAAUGAGUAGCUUGAAGAUAUUGGUAAAAAUGUAUUGGUAAAAAAGAGAUGUGAUAGGUAAGAAGUGAUAAGUGAGAUAGCAAGUAGCAAUCAUUUUGAAUCUCUGAAUAAAAAGAAAAAACGGAAGAAGAAAGGAAAGGAAUAAGGAAAAAGUAAGAAGGAAAAAGGAAGAAGAAAAAAUUAAGAAGGAAGAAGGAAGGGAAGAAGGAAGUAGAAAGAAGAAAGUAGGAAGAAGGAAGAAGGACGAAGGAAGAAGGAAGAAGCAAGAAGGAAGAAGGAAAACGGAAGAAGGAAAAAGGAAGAAGGAAGAAGGGAGAAGAAAGAAGGAAGAAGGAAGAAAGAAGAAAAAAGAAGGAAGAAGGAAGAAGCGAGUAAAAAGAUAGAGGAAGAAAAAAAGAAGCAAGAAGAAAGAAUUAAGAAGAAAAUCGGAGGAAGGAAGAAGGAAGAAAGGAGGAUAAAGGACCACUCCUAAACUGAGAUAACCUUCCAGGUAACCAGGAAGAAGGAAGAAGGACGAAGGAAGAAAGAAGAAGGAAAAAGUAAGAAGCCAAACGGAAGAAGGAAAAAGGAAGAAGGAAGAAGAAAGAAGAAGGAAGAAGGAAGAAGAAAUAAGAAAGAAAGAAGAAGGAAGAAGGAAGCAGGAAGAAGCAGCAGUAAGGUAGAUGGAAGAAGAAAGAAGGAAGAAGAGAAAAAGACAGCACACAUGUUCCACAUACUGCAGCUCCUAUGUGACCAGAUUUAGUCACAAGGAAGUUACUGCAACCAUUUUAGUCUGAUAUGUGUUGCUUGGUAAGAUAGAGGAAGGAAAAAAAGAAGCAAGAAGAAAGUAUGAAGAAGGAAGUUGGAGGAAGGAAGAAGGAAGAAAGGAGCACGAAGGACCACCCCUAAACUGAAGUAAAUGAAUCAGAAUGAAAAGGAAAAAGAAGGGAAAGGAAGAAAAAAGGAAAGGAAGAAGGAAGUAGGAAGAAGCAAAACGGAGGAAGGAAGAAGGAAAAAGGAAGAAGGAGGAAGGAAGAAGGAGGAAAGAAGAAGGAAGAAGGCAGAAAGAAGAAGGAAGAAAGAAGAAAACAGAAAGAAAAAGGAAGAUGAGAGGAAACCCUUCCGAUUUUUUUACCAUUUCAUUUACUUAUUAGGCUAAUUAAAAACUCUACGAAGCCGAAAGCAUUAGAAAUAAUACUAAAAAUUAUUCCGAAGAAGUUUCAAAAGUAUCUUGUAUGCGGGAUGUCUCUUUGGUGGAGAUCGCUCGCCCGAUCCCACAGUUAUAAAGUGUUCCCGUCGUUGAGUUGUCGACUGCGCUAGUUUCUUUUCCUCUUCAUCCUCUUUAAUCUUUCUGUGGAGGUCUGUGUAGCCCAUGAUUCCCUUCUUCACAAACCAGAUCCGAUCCGUUUUGUUUUUGAAGAACAUUGUUUCCGCUAACUUCUCGCGUUCUACCAUCGAAUCCGGUAUCUCGAAUGUUUCCAUUCGCAGGAGGAAGCAGCAAUAGGAAACAAGGAAAAAGGAAGAUAGAAGAAGGAAGUAGAAAGAAGAAAGAAGGAAGAUGGAAGAAAUAAGAAGGAAGAAAGAAGAAGAAAGAAGAAAGAAGAAAAAAGGAAGAAGGAAGAAGGGAGACACAAGAUAGAGGAAGGAAAAAAGGAAAAAGGGAGAAAGAAGAAGAAAGAAGGAAGAAGGGAGACACAAGAUAGAGGAAGGAAAAAAAAUAAGAAGAAAGAAGAAGGAAAAAAGAAGCUAGAAGAAAGAAGAAAGAUGAAGAAGGAAGUAGAAGAAAGGAAGAAAGAAGGAUGAAGGAUGAAGGACCACUCCUAAACUGAGGUAUUUUUUUACCUAUUCGGCCAAACGGCAUUCGGCCAAAUGGCGUUCGGCCAAAUGGCCUGACACCGAGUAAAGUGAAAGAGUGAGUAAAUAUGAGUGCGUGAAUGAGCAAGAGUGAGUGAGUUAGUAUGAGUGAGUUAAUGAACAAGAGUGAGCAAGUGAGUAAAAGUAAGCGAGUGAGUAAGCGAAAAGGAGCGAGUAACAAUGAGUACAUGAGUAAAAUAGAGUGAGUAAGAGUGAGUGAAUGAGUAAGAUAGAAUGAGCAAUUAAAAGUGAGUGAGUGAGU